CGUAUGCCGCGGGCGCACGUGGGCUGUAGCCUGCCCCCAGCGCCGGGAGCCCCGGGCGCUCCCACCCAGACCAGCGGAGGGCCAAUGAAGGCGGGGCGUGAUGGUGCUGCUAGAUGAAAACCUGGGCGCUAGAACCUUAGUGUGAAGGAAGAGGCUGGGGCUGGGCCUCGGCUCCUUGGCUUGGGCAGCUGGAAAGCAAGCCUCAGCUUCCCCUUUUGAAAGUGCGGGAGCAGCAUGGCACUUCCUGUAACGGUCGUGGACCUCCCUCCUUGCUUUGCUCCUUGACUACCCUGGGCUUCCGCAAACGCCCUGCUAGCUAAUAGGCUCUUUCUUUCACCUGGACUGGCCUUGCUUCGAAUACAGCUGGUGGGAAGAGGGAGGGUAGUACAGACCACCUGUGUUACCUUCGUCAAAAUCACCGAAGCACCCUGUUCUCUUGGCUGUCAGAUGACUACCUUAAUCUCUGCUCUGCCCACGCUCCUGGGUUGCCCAGACCCCCUCAGCUCCAGAGGGCAUCAUCCACAGAAAAUACAGUGUGAACAGCGUGGGGUCUAGCGAGGGGUGCAAAGCGACUCCGUAAGCGGUGAUCCUACUCCAGGCCUUUUGCGUUUUCCCAGGGAAACAAGCCUGCAAAUAAGCCUCAGCAAAAGCCGCCCCUGCUCUGUGUGUAAAACAGCGAUGGCUCCCAGAGGGGCAGCUCUCCACUCAGAAAGAACUCCCCCUGUGAGGCCAGUUGAUGGAGUGUUUUCUGGGCACGUUUUCUCAUUGAAUCCUGAGUAUGGCUCUGUAAGCUGCUGCCAAUAGCUCUUGUUGCCACCAGCAACCUUAUCCAAAAGAGAACAUUUCCGGCCCAGCAUUCCAAGCAGGAGUCCUGAGACCCACUCUGCCUGGAUUGCAUCACAUGCCCACCUGAACUCUUAGGCUCUGCCAAAGGAUACAACUUUGGGCCCACCAGCCGACGCGAGAUGCCUGCUUUCCAUAGACCAUUGUGUUGUGAACUCCAAUCCCGAUGAUCAUCCCUUAUUCCAGAUCCCAUGAAUGAUCCUGCUUCCCUGAUCAAUCCCUGGCUGGAGACCCAGGAAAGCCAGUGGUGUAAUUCCAAUCUGAAUCUGAAGGCCUGACAACCAGCCAGCCGAAGGCAAGAGUCAUAGAGAGCCGUGCCUCCUCCAAGGGCAGGAGAAGACCAGUGGUCCAGUUCAGCAGUCAGGCUAAGAAGUGAAUUCCCCCUUCUACUGCCCUUUUGUUCUACAGGCUCUCAAGGCAUUGGAUGAGGUCUGCUGACAUUGGGGAGGGCAACAGGCAUUCUACCCAUUCUUAUCCAGAAACCCCCCCAAAGACACCCCCUGAAAUGAUGUUUAAUCAAAUAUCUGGGCCAGCCAGGUUGACACAUAAAAUUAACCACCACACUUGGCUAAACCCAAACCAAAGAGGUUAAAUACUGUGUCCUAGUAACUGGCAGAACUAGAAUUCAAACCCUGGUGUAUCUCACUCUUGCGCCUGAACUCCUGUCACUCACUGGCUCGGAAACGCGUCAGGAGCAUUAUCCCAUUAAUUAUAAAAGGCCGCAAAUGUGAUGUAUACUCAUUAGGAGUAGGAAAGACUCUUAGACUUAUCAGUUUAAAAUGUUCAAGAUGCCAAGGGGCACCUGGGUGGCGCAGUCGGUUAAGCGUCCGACUUCAGCCAGGUCACGAUCUCCCGGUCCGUGAG